rnacentral:rRNA from 1 species
UACGUAGGGUGCAGGCGUUAAUCGGAAUUACUGGGCGUAAAGCGUGCGCAGGCGGUCUGUUAAGAGAGAUGUGAAAUCCCCGGGCUUAACCUGGGAACUGCGUUUCUAACUGGCAGGCUUGAGUGUGGCAGAGGGGGGUGGAAUUCCACGUGUAGCAGUGAAAUGCGUAGAGAUGUGGAGGAACACCGAUGGCGAAGGCAGCCCCCUGGGCUGAGAUUGACGCUCAGGCACGAAAGCGUGGGGAGCAAACAGG